rnacentral:rRNA from 1 species
AUGCAAGUCGAACGAGGUAGCAAUACUUAGUGGCAGACGGGUGAGUAACAUGUGGGUAUCUGCCCUUUGGCCUGGAAUAACACGAGGAAACUUGUGCUAAUACCAGAUAAGUCUUUACGGAGAAAGCUUUAUGCACCAUUGGAUGAGCCUGCACUUGAUUAGUUUGUUGGUGGGGUAAUGGCCUACCAAGACUGUGAUCAAUAGCUGAUUUGAGAGGAUGAUCAGCCACAUUGGGACUGAGACACGGCCCAAACUCCUACGGGAGGCAGCAGUGGGGAAUCUUGCACAAUGGAGGAAACUCUGAUGCAGCGAUGCCGCGUGAGUGAAGAAGGCCUUUGGGUUGUAAAGCUCUUUCGUCGGGGAAGAAAAUGACUGUACCCGAAUAAGAAGGUCCGGCUAACUUCGUGCCAGCAGCCGCGGUAAUACGAAGGGACCUAGCGUAGUUCGGAAUUACUGGGCUUAAAGAGUUCGUAGGUGGUUGAAAAAGUUGGUGGUGAAAUCCCAGAGCUUAACUCUGGAACUGCCAUCAAAACUUUUCAGCUAGAGUUUGAUAGAGGAAAGCAGAAUUUCUAGUGUA